GAGGUAUUGUCACAAUUAUGUUCCAACCAUACUCCCAUACUUUUGGUUGAGUUCUAGUAUCUAAAUUUUGUUUGAAAUGCAUUUCCAUACUUUUGAGUUAUUUAUAUAUUUUUGCUUGCAUGAGUGGUCACUGGGUGUAGUAAUACUACUGGAGAAAACCUGUUUAACAGGUAUUAUUUAUUUUUAAAUAAACUUGCUUAGUGGUUUGAAGAGUGAGGUUAGAUGUAUUUUGGGCGACAAGCUGUGUGGACGUGUCUGUACUCUUGCUGAGAUAUCUUGGGCGUUUCCCAUGCUGUGUGAUCUUGGGAACGGCAUCCCUGUGUGGGCUUAUUUGUGUGAGAGAGAUACAACCCAGUAAGUGUUACAUUAUUUCUAUUUUUAUGGUUUAUAUUAAUUCUGCAUUGUGAGUAGAGUUAGACUACAGGUAUGUGAAAUUGUAAUUUAAAUAGCUGUUAUGUUACGGUAGCCCAGAAUUGUAAUAUACUGCAGCGGUGUGUUUAAUGAGUCAGUAUAUGUAUCUAAUUUCAAACAUGUGUAUAAGAAAGCUUAUUAUGCCACGUUGUUCGAUAUUUAAAUAGGUGACCACGGAGUGGGCACGUGCACGUGGUGGACCAUGCUAUAUCCGUGGACGGACUUAUGGUGGGACAAUUAAUAUCCAAACCAAAAACUUAUGUGAGAUGUCUUGUCGAAUGCCAUCUAGUCCAUCCGAUAGAACUGAUGUCAACAACCUCCUAAUUAUUGUAUGUUUGUAAAUAAAUUGUGUUU
rnacentral:misc_RNA from 1 species